UAGUGUACUUGCAAGUUAUUUACUUCAACUUUUUUUCCAAAUGGAGAACAGCUUUGGUACCUUUCAGACACUAUAUAUAAUUAGUGGGUUGGCAAGUCUAUUUUAAAACUAUGAAAUCUUACUCUCCCUACAGCCAUCUCACGCCCACACCCUUUCUCACACACACAUCAGCCCCAUGCCCUUCCCCCAAAAGGUUGAUUUUCUCUCUACAUGGCUUUUAUCAGAGAAGGAAAUGGCAAUCCACUCCAGUAUUCUUGCCUGGAGAAUCUCAUGGACAGAGGAGCCUGGCGGACUACAGUCCAUGGGGUCACAAAGAGUCAAACACAACUGAAGCUUUGUAAUCUAAGCUUUCACUAGCUUGUGUGUUCAGUGGAAGUUCCUGGCCCAUCACUCACACAGCACACGCUCAGUAAAUAAGGAAGCAGUUGUGCACUAUUCCCAGUGCCUGGAUGAGGUGGGGGUGCUCAUUGGUUAUUGAUUAAUUGCCAUUCAACGGUUUUGUAUUAUUUACUUAAGUAUUAAUGGAGGACCUAUUCUGUGCCAGACAUUUUUGCUGGGCAUUAACAAAGCUACAGAAAGAGUAAGAUAGUUCCUGUCUCUAAGGGGAGAGACCAGGCCAGUACGGAACAAGCAAAUAGUUCACUGUGUGUGCUUCGUCACGUAGUCGUGUCCAACUCUUGGCCACUCUAUGGACUAUAGCCCACGAAGCUCCUCUGUCCAUGGGAUUCUCCAGGCCAGACUACUGGAGUGGGUUGCCAUGCCUUCCUCCAGGGAAUUGUCCCAACACAGGGAUCUAACCCAAGUCUCCUGUGUCUCUUGCAUUGGCAGGCGGAAUCUUUACCACUGAGCCAUCCUAGGAAGCCCAAAGAGCUCAUUGCCUUGCAGCUAGAGUCACUAGAAUUCGGUACAGUUAUUUCAUUUCCAGGGUCGAUUUGUUUCCAUUUCUUUGAGGCCAAUUCUUGGAAGUGUGUGGCAGCUCAUGUCAUGCCUACAGUCUGAUCAUCGUGCAGCUAACUUCUUCCACCUGGUAUCAGUUUCAGCAUCUAUCAGUACAGGAGAGCUCACACGAUGUGGCUCAGAAUAUUAUCUGUAGACCUUGAGAAGGAAGGAAAGGUCCUUGACUUUGCCUACUGAUUAAACAAUUAUUGUUUUGUCCUGUUUGACUCCUUUUCUUUGCUUCUGCAUUUUCUCACUUCUCUGAUUAAACUGACUCUUUGGCUAAGAGAGAAAAGGCAGGCUGCGGAC
ensembl:lncRNA